GUGGGUGAAGGCCCCCCACUACUACUGCUGCGCCGUAUAUCUCUGCGGCGCGUAUCCUCCGUUGGGAUGGUUGGUUGGCUUCUCACGCGGGGGCCCGCCGGGAUCCGGUCGCCGCAUCCCGCACGCCGCGUCACCACCGGCGGAGCGCAGGACAGCUGAGCCGCCUUCGGGGAGGGGUGGAGCGGCGGCUCGGUGGUGGUGGUAUUUGGGGAGGAGCACUCGGCGAUUGGGCGCCCCCGCUGCGUGGUGGAGGCAGGGGGCGGACACGCGGUUGGCGGCGAAUUUACCACCGGGGGAGGCCAUUAACUCUGGCCACCUUGGCAUGCGGAUAGGCACGACGCCAUCUCCAUGGGAUGCCUCUGACCUCUGCGCAGGGAGGUGGAGUCGGCGUUGUGAUGGAGAGCGGCGCGAAGCGGCAUUUCUUCCCCCUUACGAGCUUGCAAAUCGGGGAUUUACAGUCAUAUCUUGCUGAUCUUACUGUAUUUGUGUGCCCUCAUACGAAGAAGUUUCUUAUAUUACUUGACAACCGGCCAUGGCUGCUAGACCAGGACACAAGACCAGCUCACCUAUGGCAACUGAUGGUCACAAAGUCAAGACUUUCACCUUUUGCAAUCACUAGAACUAGGAGAAGGGGAGAUGAAACUGGGAAGAAACUCGUAUUCUCUAAAGAUCCUAGACAUGGUUCUCAUUUGUGGAACCCGACAUCCAGAUGGUAUACCUUAAUUGAUGAUGCCAUGCGGAAUAAAAAGCUACAUGUGAAUAGGCUGAAGGAUUCUCGUCUGCUGAACAAGGAACUGCACAGAACCUUAUAUGGCUUUAUAAUUUUUGAGGUAGACUGGGCUGAUGUGCGCGGCAUGAAUUAUUUGAAUGAACUUCAGACUGAUACUUCAAUGGCAGUGGAGGCUAAAACAAUGAAGAGAUGGGAAUUUGAGAGUGUCAACCAAGCUUCAUCAUUGAUCACCUCAUGGUUUUGCGGAAAUUACUCUGAAUGCCAGCUGCUACAGUACCAUUUGAACAGCAUCUCUCCUAAAGGUGAUGUGUUCUAUGACACUCGGAAUUAUUUCUCAACACCUGAAUGGGAAAGCGAGAAUGUACAGAGUGAUGAUGAUGAUUCUGGACCUAGCCAAUGCAUGAGAGAGCCGUCAAGUUUUACAAGUUCCUCGUACACAUCACCUCCUUGCUCUGGACCUUACAAGAGAAGAAAGAUAAUAAGAUCCGAUGCGGGAAGUAAUAUGUCUGAAGAAUCAUAUUCCGAAGUUGUGACCUCACCAAGGUAUUCAUCAUCUUCUUCCUCAUGCUGCAGUGAUGAUGAUUGUGGCAAGACACUGCUUGAGCCUAGCACAUAUAAGGAUGUGUUGAUCUUAUUCCGGUUUGAUGAUCACGAUCUACCUUUCAAACUCAAAGAAGUGAUACUUUCUGAUGUGAGGCUGUUAACAUUGCUUGAGUAUGGCCUUCCUUCAUGGGUGAUUUUUUUCCAGUCAUAUCCAGUAUUCUGCAAGAUAUAUCGCCCAUGGAUGUGUCCUCUUGCCAGGGCAUUGUAUGUCUUGAUGUCAAUAGUUACUGUUCUCAUAGGGUUUUAUGAUCUAUACAAGAAUGUCCCCAUGUUGAAGGCAACUGCCUCAAGAUUAUUUGGCCCUUUCUUUGACUGGAUAGAGACGUGGGAAAUGAUCUCACGACUGAAGUAUCUUGGAACCAUGCUUUUUCUGCAUAACUUCCAGCAGGCUUUUACAUGGUCUCUUAAGAUUGUUACUGCUACUAAGUCUGCUCUUAGUAUUUUGACAAAGCCAAUAAUGGGGCCAAUUUUAGAGGUUCUUGAAUUUACCCUGCCGCUAUGGAACCUUUGUGCUGAAACAGUAGGACAUCUGAGCUCAGUUAUCAUGUUGGCGAUGGAAACUUCAUGCAGUGUAGUUAUCAGUACAAUACAGAUGAUUAUGUGGCCUUUUUGGUUAGUCUUCAGUGUUCUGCUUAAUAUUGCAAAUUCAGUUCUGUACCCUUUCAUUUGGCUCCUCGGAGAAAUUCUAGCUGCACCUUUCCGGCUUUUUGUUGUGCUAGCAAGUUUUGUAGCAGACAUUUUUGUGGACAUUGUUGGAGUCGUAAGGGAGACCUGGUCUGCAUUGAGUUCUCUGUAUCAAGUUGGUUCUCUGUCCAGAUCGACUGGCCUUGCAUCUGAAACUACCAUCUGGGGGUCACUAUGGAAAGAUCUUCUGUACCAGAUUUUUCGUGCUAUCCGAAGUAUUGUGUAUGGUUUUGUUGCCUUCUUUUCGACAUGUAAUAGGCACCGGCUUAGCAUUUACAACCACGUUCAAGUAUUUCUCCGACGGCUAUCUCGUGUUUUAAGUGGUGCACACCACACUACCUCUUGUGAAGCAGCCCGGAGAUAUUCUAGUCAAAAUCAUCAUAUCCAAUCUAUUCUUCGCCAUUGUCAUGUACUGCUCUGCUUGCACAUGGAGGUGGUGUAGCAUACUGCACGCGAUUCAUCCUGCCGCGUCACCCACGGCAUGUGGGGUUGGUGAACCAGCCUAUGAGUGCGGCAGUGCAAGAUCCAGGUAAUUGGCAAAAAGAACGUAGCGUGAGACGGACAAUAACGUUACUGCCAUUUCUGGCCGUGAGGCGUUCUGCUGAACUCUGAAGACGGCACAUGAAUCAGCAGCAGUGAUCUAGCAGAAGCAGCGUGGAGAUUUAUGGGAUUUGGAUGGUCCAUGAGUGAGAGUAGCUCACUGCUGGCUCACUGCAAUCAGUGUCAACUGUCAAGCGUGAAUAAUUUUUUGGUUCACAUGAGCACACUCUCUUCGGCGGUAUUUAGAUUGAGAAGAUAUCUGGGAGAAGUUCACGUCAAAUGUUUUAUCGGACGUCAGAAUGAGUUUUUGGACACGAAUGAAAAAACGAAU